AGAACUUCCCAGAGCGAUGAAAGGGGAGGGGCCCAUGGCUCUGUAGCAGGAAUGCAGGGCAGGGACAGAAAGGAGGGGAAGGAAAUGGCCACACGACGGCAGCAGAACCUGAGAAAUGAAACACAACUGGCUUCCGAACAGUGAAUGAACCUGACUCCCGUAUCAUGAAAAGCCCAAAAGCCGUUUCUUUCUAUGCCUGGGAGAAAAGAGUUCCAAUCAUUCCUGCCCAUUUACUUUUGAAUUAUUUUACAUUGUAAAGAAAAUUGUAACAAAAUGA